rnacentral:rRNA from 1 species
GACGAACGCUGGCGGCGUGCUUAACACAUGCAAGUCGAACGGGAAGGCCCUGCUUUUGUGGGGUGCUCGAGUGGCGAACGGGUGAGUAACACGUGAGUAACCUGCCCUUGACUUUGGGAUAACUUCAGGAAACUGGGGCUAAUACCGGAUAGGAGCUCCUGCUGCAUGGUGGGGGUUGGAAAGUUUCGGCGGUUGGGGAUGGACUCGCGGCUUAUCAGCUUGUUGGUGGGGUAGUGGCUUACCAAGGCUUUGACGGGUAGCCGGCCUGAGAGGGUGACCGGCCACAUUGGGACUGAGAUACGGCCCAGACUCCUACGGGAGGCAGCAGUGGGGAAUAUUGCACAAUGGGCGGAAGCCUGAUGCAGCAACGCCGCGUGCGGGAUGACGGCCUUCGGGUUGUAAACCGCUUUCGCCUGUGACGAAGCGUGAGUGACGGUAAUGGGUAAAGAAGCACCGGCUAACUACGUGCCAGCAGCCGCGGUGAUACGUAGGGUGCGAGCGUUGUCCGGAUUUAUUGGGCGUAAAGGGCUCGUAGGUGGUUGAUCGCGUCGGAAGUGUAAUCUUGGGGCUUAACCCUGAGCGUGCUUUCGAUACGGGUUGACUUGAGGAAGGUAGGGGAGAAUGGAAUUCCUGGUGGAGCGGUGGAAUGCGCAGAUAUCAGGAGGAACACCAGUGGCGAAGGCGGUUCUCUGGGCCUUUCCUGACGCUGAGGAGCGAAAGCGUGGGGAGCGAACAGGCUUAGAUACCCUGGUAGUCCACGCUGUAAACGGUGGGUACUAGGUGUGGGGUCCAUUCCACGGGUUCCGUGCCGUAGCUAACGCUUUAAGUACCCCGCCUGGGGAGUACGGCCGCAAGGCUAAAACUCAAAGGAAUUGACGGGGCCCCGCACAAGCGGCGGAGCAUGCGGAUUAAUUCGAUGCAACGCGUAGAACCUUACCUGGGUUUGACAUGGAUCGGGAGUGCUCAGAGAUGGGUGUGCCUCUUUUGGGGUCGGUUCACAGGUGGUGCAUGGCUGUCGUCAGCUCGUGUCGUGAGAUGUUGGGUUAAGUCCCGCAACGAGCGCAACCCUUGUUCACUGUUGCCAGCACGUUAUGGUGGGGACUCAGUGGAGACCGCCGGGGUCAACUCGGAGGAAGGUGGGGAUGACGUCAAGUCAUCAUGCCCCUUAUGUCCAGGGCUUCACGCAUGCUACAAUGGCUGGUACAGAGAGUGGCGAGCCUGUGAGGGUGAGCGAAUCUCGGAAAGCCGGUCUCAGUUCGGAUUGGGGUCUGCAACUCGACCUCAUGAAGUCGGAGUCGCUAGUAAUCGCAGAUCAGCAACGCUGCGGUGAAUACGUUCCCGGGGCUUGUACACACCGCCCGUCAAGUCAUGAAAGUUGGUAACACCCGAAGCCGGUGGCCUAACCGUUGUGGGGGAGCCGUCGAAGGUGGGACUGGUGAUUAGGACU